rnacentral:tRNA from 1 species
AUCUUUUUAGUACAAAGCGAGUAUACUUGGCUUCCAACCAGAUGGUCUUGGUUAAACCCCAAGAGAAGAUA